GAUGAACGCUGGCGGCGUGCUUAACACAUGCAAGUCGAACGGAAAGGCUCCUGCUUGCAGGGGUACUCGAGUAGCGAACGGGUGAGUAACACGUGGGUGAUCUGCCCUGCACUUCGGGAUAAGCCUGGGAAACUGGGUCUAAUACCGGAUAGGACGAUGGUUUGGAUGCCAUUGUGGAAAGUUUUUCGGUGUGGGAUGAGCUCGCGGCCUAUCAGCUUGUUGGUGGGGUAAUGGCCUACCAAGGCGUCGACGGGUAGCCGGCCUGAGAGGGUGUACGGCCACAUUGGGACUGAGAUACGGCCCAGACUCCUACGGGAGGCAGCAGUGGGGAAUAUUGCACAAUGGGCGCAAGCCUGAUGCAGCGACGCCGCGUGGGGGAUGACGGCCUUCGGGUUGUAAACUCCUUUCGCUAGGGACGAAGCGCAAGUGACGGUACCUGGAGAAGAAGCACCGGCUAACUACGUG
rnacentral:rRNA from 1 species